rnacentral:snoRNA from 1 species
NCACUGCCUCAUGCAGGUGUGAGGACAGAUGUUGCUACAGUACGAACAGAGGAAAUACAGACAGGUGGUUUGCCUUUUGUCUUGGGACUCCUCACUACCACAUCAAAAAAA